rnacentral:tRNA from 1 species
GCCCCCAUAGCUUAAUGGUAAAGCAGUUGCCUUUUAAGCAAUUGACCAUGGUCCGAUUCCAUGUGGGGGCA